rnacentral:rRNA from 1 species
GAUGAACGCUGGCGGCGUGCCUAAUACAUGCAAGUCGAGCGAACGGACGAGAAGCUUGCUUCUCUAAUGUUAGCGGCGGACGUGUGAGUAACACGUGGAUAACCUACCUAUAAUACUGGGAUAACUUCGGGAAACCGUAGCUAAUACCGGAUAAUAUUUUGAACCGCAUGGUUCAAAAGUGAAAGACGGUCUUGCUGUCACUUAUAGAUGGAUCCGCGCUGCAUUAGCUAGUUGGUAAGGUAACGGCUUACCAAGGCAACGAUGCAUAGCCGACCUGAGAGGGUGAUCGGCCAAACGGGAACUGAGACACGGUCAAGACUACUACGGGAGGCAGCAGUAGGGAAUCUGCCGCAAUGGGCGAAAGCAUGACGGAGCAACGCCGCGUGAGUGAUGAAGGUCUUCGGAUCGUAAAACUCUGUUAUUAGGGAAGAACAUAUGUGUAAGUAACUGUGCACAUCUUGACGGUAACUAAUCAGAAAGCCACGGCUAACUACGUG